CCUAACACAUGCAAGUCGAACGGUAACAGGAAGCAGCUUGCUGCUUCGCUGACGAGUGGCGGACGGGUGAGUAAUGUCUGGGAAGCUGCCUGAUGGAGGGGGAUAACUACUGGAAACGGUAGCUAAUACCGCAUAAUGUCGCAAGACCAAAGAGGGGGACCUUCGGGCCUCUUGCCAUCGGAUGUGCCCAGAUGGGAUUAGCUUGUUGGUGGGGUAACGGCUCACCAAGGCGACGAUCCCUAGCUGGUCUGAGAGGAUGACCAGCCACACUGGAACUGAGACACGGUCCAGACUCCUACGGGAGGCAGCAGUGGGGAAUAUUGCACAAUGGGCGCAAGCCUGAUGCAGCCAUGCCGCGUGUAUGAAGAAGGCCUUCGGGUUGUAAAGA
rnacentral:rRNA from 1 species